CUAGGUUUCACCGGAAGAGUCGAUGCUUACGCUUCUGUAAUCUUGAGCGUUUCCUCAUGGGCGUCGCAGUUCACACACGUCACGGAUUCCGCCGAAAGAGUCGAUAAUUAAAACUGAACUUUUGGAUCGAAGAUAUGCAUUUUCCUUGGCGGAGAUGCACAGCUCUGACACUAGACAAUAUUAUACACUCGAAGGGAACGCGUUUCGCCGGAAG